AAGUCGUAACAAGGUUUCCGUAGGUGAACCUGCGGAAGGAUCAUUACCAAUUUAAUCCAAAACUCUUCAACCCAUGUGCACUGUGACAUUGUUUGUCUUUGGGGUGGUUGUUUUGCUUGUGCAAGAUAUUACUGCCCCACAUUUGUUCAAACUCUUUCUAUUUUUGUGGCAUCUUAUUGUCUUAAUACAAAUGGACAACUUUUAACGGUGGAUCUCUUGGCUCGUGGAU
rnacentral:misc_RNA from 1 species